UGACGGUACCCUACUAGAAAGGAGCCGCUAACUUCGUGCCAGAAGCGUCGGUAAUACGGGGGCUCCAAGCGUUAUCCGGUGUUAUUGGGCGUAAAGAGUCGUGUAGGUGGUUGGGUAAGUUAUCUUUCAAAUAUCUUUGCUUAACAAAGAGGAGGGGGAUAAUACUGCUCGACUAGAAUUUUCUCAAGGGAGAUCGGAACUGAGGGAGGAGUAGUGAAAUGCGUUGAUACCCUCGGGAACACCAGUGGCGUAGGCGGAUCUCUGGGAGAAGAUUGACACUGAGACACGAAAGCUAGGGGAGCGAAGCAGAUUAGAGACCUGCGUAGUCCUAGCCGUAAACGCAUGCUUGCUAGCUGCAUGAAUCUACCUUCGGGUGGUAUCGUGUGGCGAAGGUAACCCGUUAAGCAAGCCGCCUGGAAAGUACGGCCGCAAGGCUGAAAUUCAAAGGAAUUGGCGGGGAGGCACACAACCAGUGGAACAUGUGGUUUAAUUCGAGACUAACCGAAGAACCUCACCAGGGUUUGACAUGUAGCUGCACGUCUUAAGAAAUUAAGACUCUCUUGAAGGUGCUACACAGGUGCUGCAUGGCUGUCGUCAGCUCGUUCCGUGAGGAGUGCCCUUAAGUGGGACAACGAGCGCAACCCCUAUUACAUGUUAGAAAUGUCAUGUAAGACUGCCUUGCCAUUUGGCGGGGAGGAAGGAGGGGCAGACGUCAAGUCCGCAUGGUCCUUAUGCCCUGGGCUACACACAUGUUACAAUGAGUACGGCAAUGAGUCUGUCGCGAGCACGUAAGUGUAAGCUAAUCUCUUAAAUGUACUCUCAGUGGGGAUUGAGGUCUGCAACUCGACCUCAUGAACACGGAAUUGGUAGUAAUCGCGGGUCAGCUAUACCGCGGGAAUACGUUCUUGCCUCUUGCACACACCGCCCGUCAAACCAGCAAAGUCGAUUGUAUCCGAACCU
rnacentral:rRNA from 1 species